UGGGGAAUUUUGGACAAUGGGGGCAACCCUGAUCCAGCCAUGCCGCGUGAGUGAAGAAGGCCUUCGGGUUGUAAAGCUCUUUCGGCCGGAACGAAAUCGCAUCCUCUAAUACGGGGUGUGGAUGACGGUACCGGAAGAAGAAGCACCGGCUAACUACGUGCCAGCAGCCGCGGUAAUACGUAGGGUGCGAGCGUUAAUCGGAAUUACUGGGCGUAAAGCGUGCGCAGGCGGUUCGCUAAGACAGGUGUGAAAUCCCCGGGCUUAACCUGGGAAUGGCGCUUGUGACUGGCGGGCUGGAGUACGGCAGAGGGAGGUGGAAUUCCACGUGUAGCAGUGAAAUGCGUAGAGAUGUGGAGGAACACCGAUGGCGAAGGCAGCCUCCUGGGCCAGUACUGACGCU
rnacentral:rRNA from 1 species